AUACGGAGGGUGCAAGCGUUGUUCGGAAUCACUGGGCGUAAAGGGCGCGCAGGCGGUUUGGUAAGUCAGAUGUGAAAGCCCAUGGCUCAACCAUGGAAGUGCAUUUGAAACUGUCAGACUUGAGUACUAGAGGGGAAAGUGGAAUUCCCGGUGUAGAGGUGAAAUUCGUAGAUAUCGGGAGGAAUACCGGUGGCGAAGGCGACUUUCUGGCUGAAUACUGACGCUGAGGCGCGAAAGCGUGGGGAGCAAACAGGAUUAGAAACCCGUGUAGUCC
rnacentral:rRNA from 1 species